rnacentral:misc_RNA from 1 species
GAUGAAGAACGUAGCGAAAUGCGAUAAGUAAUGUGAAUUGCAGAAUUCAGUGAAUCAUCGAAUCUUUGAACGCACAUUGCGCCCGCCAGUAUUCUGGCGGGCAUGCCUGUUCGAGUGUCAUUUCAACCAUCAAGCCCUGCUUGCGUUGGGGUCCUGCGGCUGCCCGCAGGCCCUGAAAACCAGUGGCGGGCUCGCUAGUCACACCGAGCGCAGUAAUACAUCUCGCUUUGGGCGUGCGGCGGGUUCUUGCCGUUAAACACCCCCUUUUUACCAAGGUUGACCUCGGAUCAGGUAGGAAUACCCGCUGAACUUAAGCAUAUCAUAAGCGGAGGA